GAUGAACGCUGGCGGCGUGCCUAAUACAUGCAAGUCGAGCGAACAGACGAGGAGCUUGCUCCUCUGACGUUAGCGGCGGACGGGUGAGUAACACGUGGAUAACCUACCUAUAAGACUGGGAUAACUUCGGGAAACCGGAGCUAAUACCGGAUAAUAUAUUGAACCGCAUGGUUCAAUAGCGAAAGACGGUUUUGCUGUCACUUAUAGAUGGAUCCGCGCCGCAUUAGCUAGUUGGUAAGGUAACGGCUUACCAAGGCAACGAUGCGUAGCCGACCUGAGAGGGUGAUCGGCCACACUGGAACUGAGACACGGUCCAGACUCCUACGGGAGGCAGCAGUAGGGAAUCUUCCGCAAAGGGCGAAAGCCUGACGGAGCAACGCCGCGUGAGUGAUGAAGGUCUUCGGAUCGUAAAACUCUGUUAUUAGGGAAGAACAAAUGUGUAAGUAACUAUGCACGUCUUGACGGUACCUAAUCAGAAAGCCACGGCUAACUACGUG
rnacentral:rRNA from 1 species